GAUGAACGCUGGCGGCGUGCUUAACACAUGCAAGUCGAACGAAGCACUUUUAUUUGAUUUCUUCGGAAUGAAGAUUUUAGUGACUGAGUGGCGGACGGGUGAGUAACGCGUGGGUAACCUGCCUCAUACAGGGGGAUAACAGUUAGAAAUGACUGCUAAUACCGCAUAAGACCACAGCACCGCAUGGUGCAGGGGUAAAAACUCCGGUGGUAUGAGAUGGACCCGCGUCUGAUUAGGUAGUUGGUGGGGUAACGGCCUACCAAGCCGACGAUCAGUAGCCGACCUGAGAGGGUGACCGGCCACAUUGGGACUGAGACACGGCCCAAACUCCUACGGGAGGCAGCAGUGGGGAAUAUUGCACAAUGGGGGAAACCCUGAUGCAGCGACGCCGCGUGAGCGAUGAAGUAUUUCGGUAUGUAAAGCUCUAUCAGCAGGGAAGAAAAUGACGGUACCUGACUAAGAAGCACCGGCUAAAUACGUGCCAGCCGCCGCAGUAA
rnacentral:rRNA from 1 species